UACAGAGGGGGCUAGCGUUGCUCGGAAUCACUGGGCGUAAAGGGUGCGUAGGCGGGUUCUUUAAGUCAGAGGUGAAAUCCUGGAGCUCAACUCCAGAACUGCCUUUGAUACUGAAGAUCUUGAGUUCGGGAGAGGUGAGUGGAACUGCGAGUGUAGAGGUGAAAUUCGUAGAUAUUCGGAAGAACACCAGUGGCGAAGGCGACUCACUGGACACAUAUUGACGCUGAGGUGCGAAAGCGUGGGGAGCAAACAGG
rnacentral:rRNA from 1 species